AGUGAACGCUGGCGGUAGGCCUAACACAUGCAAGUCGAACGGCAGCACAGUAAGAGCUUGCUCUUACGGGUGGCGAGUGGCGGACGGGUGAGGAAUACAUCGGAAUCUACUUUUUCGUGGGGGAUAACGUAGGGAAACUUACGCUAAUACCGCAUACGACCUACGGGUGAAAGCAGGGGAUCUUCGGACCUUGCGCGAUUGAAUGAGCCGAUGUCGGAUUAGCUAGUUGGCGGGGUAAAGGCCCACCAAGGCGACGAUCCGUAGCUGGUCUGAGAGGAUGGUCCGCCACACUGGAACUGAGACACGGUCCAGACUCCUACGGGAGGCAGCAGUGGGGAAUAUUGGACAAUGGGCGCAAGCCUGAUCCAGCCAUACCGCGUGGGUGAAGAAGGCCUUCGGGUUGUAAAGCCCUUUUGUUGGGAAAGAAAAGCAGCAGGUUAAUACCCCGCUGUUCUGACGGUACCCAAAGAAUAAGCACCGGCUAACUUCGUG
rnacentral:rRNA from 1 species